ACUUGCUUAUUCUCUCAAAGCAACGCAUGAUUACCGCUGCACCUGUUAUUUUUGCAUUAUGGGCUUGCAGAGUGAACGAUUCACUUGUUCACUUAUUGCUUGAAAUGUGCUCAUUUAUGGUGCUUUCAUGCUUAACAUUUUACCUGACCAUGCACUAGCUGCAACUUAUACCAUCAUACAUUAAAUUGCAUGCUUAUCAUUGCUGUUUUGAAUCGAAGCAACGCAGAAUCAUUGCUGAUGGAUCUUUUUUAGGAAUCGCAUAUUUAAGUUUUAAAAAAAUGUACCCGCCGCGGCAGCCGCAUUUAGAUGGGAGCGAAAUGCAAGAAACGCCUGUGUGGCACGUUAAAGGGACACUAAAGUGAAAAAUUAUUUCUUCUGCAUCAGUAAAUUACCAUUCUACAACACCAAAAACACCACUGUUACAAUGAUAAGACGUUUUGUAAGCCAGAAAAAGCGCAAGAACGAAAUACGGGUGGCGACGCCUACUUGAGUUCCCGCACCUGGGGGCUGUGACGUCGUGGAUUUUGAUGGCAUCUUCUAGGGCCUACUAAUUAUAUAUAGCGGUACAGAUUGACUAUAUUUAGUUCUAAAGGAACCAAAUAUUAAACAUGGCAAGUUUCAGGAACCUUUAUUCAGCCAACGCGGCCCAAAUGCGAAAACAUACGUUGGAAUCCCUGACGUCAUGCUAACGUACCGGCGCUGGGGUUUCGGCGCGAAAUUCAAAUACUGAUACUUGGACCUUCAUUUUCUCAUCUAAUAAUCAAACUAUUUUUUUGAAAUCACUGCCUGCAGGGUUCUCAAACAAUGCUUCAUUAGUCUAAACUGAUUUAUUGUUUCGCUUUAGUGUCCCUUUAAAGAUCCCCUCGUGGUCAAAAUUAAUCCGGACUGCGCCACUAUGGCAUGCCUCAUAAUCAAAUCGUGGUUUUAGCGCAUAAAACCCUAGAAUACAUUCUAUAAGAGAAAAGUGACUGGAGGAGCAUGAAUGAAGUUAAUGAUUUGCUAUUUUUACUUUAACUAAUGAAAGAAAGAAAACAAAUAUACUAAGUAUGAACCCUGCUUCUAGUUCCCAACUUCUGUAAGGUAAACCAUGCGAUACAAUAUAUGCAGAUUUGGUAGCAUGAAUAUUAGCCAUAGUGGUGGCCAUGCCAUGCAGGAAAGCACUCGCUUUGCAAACUUGGAAAUGGGUAAGCACCUAUAGUAUGGUACAGGAAAAAUUUGUUUCUCCCCAUUGCAGCAAGCACCUACUUUUUUUUUUUACUGCAUUCUUUAGGGUCUAGAAGCAAUAGUUGUCAGGUUAGGUAGCAUGGACAAGCCUCCUUGUACAUUAAUAAUGUGUUAAAUCAGCUUUUCUAUUCAAGAAAUCUGGUCUAAUCUUGUGCCUUAAACUGGUGCUGGAGCUUUCAUAUGCUUUACAGUCGUCGUAUAGUUAUGCACAGGCUUGCGCGGUAUUGCACACUAAUGAAUAGAGGCAAGUGCACAGGUAUGAGAUUGCACUUCUGCCUAAGGUCGAUCUGCAAUCGAGUACAUGGCUUUGUGUGAGCGAGAACUCCAUACAAUGGAAAGGAUUGCGUCUAAAAACGUACACACAGCAGAAAAAACAAAGUAGCACUUCAUAUCAAUCUUAACACAAUAAGUAAAAGCUGAGUCAACCAAAGCGCAAAUUUUGCAUUGUUUGAUUAAAGAAGUGCUAGAAGUACUGUACACUAGUUCUAAUGAUAGCUCCUGUCGAAGUUUUAUAUUUCCUGAAUCCCCAAUGUGCAAAAAAUUUAAAUCUACUAAUUGUUCAGUUAAAACACGGGGAAAACAAGGUGUCAAGCACGUGCCAACGCACGCGUGUUAGCCGGCAUGUCAACGGCGCCUGACACGCCGGCUGAGAAAAAGAAGGGGAAAGAAAAAAAGAAGGAUACGCCAAGAAACCAAACUAAGUAUUGUUGCCUAUAGCUUGAAAUUUAGCAUAGCGGAUAGAUUAUAAAGCUCCUUUUGAAAUGUUAAUGCCUAUUUGUUGCAAUGCCUUGAACUUAUAGAUAAGGUAUGAUUCUCUGUAUUUUCUUUCUCGUUCAGAACGGAAAUUUGUAAGAUGUAGAGUUGUCAUUUCAUGCAGUUCUUGGCGUUGCUCACGAAAAAAAUUUUGAUGGCAGUCACUUUGUGCUGCUAUAAUUAGACGCCAUGUCACAGUGUCAACCUCAAAUUAAUAAAGCAAAUUAGCUUACAGUUUCUAUACAUACUGUCUUCGCAGGAGUUUGAUCUCUGUAUGAAAGCUGCAAAAUGUACUCAAACAAAGCAUAGUUUAAAAAUGUACAAGAAGCAACAUCAUUCUUGUCACUUUUUUAUAUCUUCUUUUUCUUCAAUUCCAUUAUGCUUCGCUCUAAAAUUUUGCCCUGAGAAAAACAAAUGCUUGAUCCUCAUCAGGAAAAGAGAAAAGAUGUCACUGAACCUCUUCUUCAUAACUACUGAGUUCCACAACAUGUCUACGAUUCAACUUUGUAACGCUAGUUCUGUGCAUUACACACCCUGAAAUGCAGACUGAACAUACAAGUGUCCAGGGUACUUAAUCUUCUUUCUUCUUCUAAAUUACCCCAUAAGAUAUUCUGCACAACCAACGUGGGCUUACAAUAAACUGAUUCCCCUUGACACACUGCAUACAUGUAACAUUUGCUUUAUUUUAUUAUCCUGAUCAGCUUUCAAGUCAUAGAAGGAAAAGGUGGAGAAAGACACACGCAGUCACUUCAUUGCAAGGACAGGUACAGAGACUUGCGGCCACCUGAAAAAGAAGCAUUUCUACUUCGUCUGUCACCGGUCUGGAAGUUAUGCUUCACAAGCUACAAGUAAACAAAAGCUGAAGCGGCCUUCGAGUGUCAAGUGUGGAAAAAGGUGUUUUGCGGCAAUGGCUGUGACUGAAGACAACACAGGUGUGUAUGUGGUUUUCCAAUUCAAGCACAGAGGCCACGACUUUGAACUGGGUCGUGUUUUUCUGUCCAAGUCUGAAAGAGCUGCUAUUGCUGGUAAGAAACCGCUUUUGCCCUGCUUUAUAAUACAGAGAGUGGUUGUUGAGUUUUCAACAUCCCAAAUACAAGGCAAUACUCAUGCCAGACCAUGCAAUGAACUUGAAGCACAUGAAAUUCAUUUGAAAUUCAUAAUUUCCACAUAAUUCGAGGCCACCUUUACUGACUGCAGGGCAUUAUAGUUAAUGACAUCAUAAACAUGUUUAUCAUUUUGCUACAUUGUAUCAAUGCCUGAAGGGUUCAGAGAGAGAGAGAAAAAAGGGAACCGUUCUCCAAUUUCACAGCGGUAACAACUACCUUGGCACAGCCAGUGGCCUAUAUUUGAUCUAUAUGGCUAUUCUUAUUGCAGGCAACGACUUUAGUUAUUUUAUACUUGUUUGCAUCACUUCAUGUACCAAGCAGGAAGGUGUAGUGCCUCCUGGUGCACUGUAGGCCACGCAGCAGACUGUGGCUUUUUCUUUUUGUUUUAUUUUUCAGGCUUUCAGUUAACUGUAUUGGUAUGACUUAUGAUCCUAGUGGGAUUCAAUGUCUCAAAAUAGCAGUAAGCUGGAAUAAUUUCCACUUGGGAUUACUUAAGGUGCAUUGUACAUAAUUAUGUCUGCCAUUUUGCCUAAACUGAAGUGCAAGUAUUACAGACAUCGAUGAAACUGCGACCUCUCGCCACUACUGUAGGUCAUCCACAGAUGUGCUUUCCAUGUGAAACUUUCAUCAGCUCAAGUUGUAUUUUACUCUACUAUAUGUAGGGCUCACAAACCAUGUGCCAUAUUUUAUGGACUAUAAUUUGAACUGUUGUACAAGUCACCCCCUUUCCCCCCUCUUUUCACAACUUUCAAAGAAAAAAUAUGUGUAUAUAACUCAUUGUAUAAGAUGCAUCUAUCUUAACUUGGGUCAGCAUCGUGAAAUGCGAUUGUGCAUGUUUAUACACUUAUCCUAAAAUGUCGUACUUACCCAUUUCAGGGCACUAAACUUCAGUAAAAAAAAAUUUUAUGAGCCGCACAUUCUAGCAGACAAAAUAAACUGCAAGUACAUUGCUGGAGAAAAAGAAUGUCUCAUGUUGGUCUUGCAUAUAUAAGUUAUACUGUUCUACAAUACGCUUGGACGAAAAUGAAAAGAAAAUGGUGGCACCUAUGGUUUGGAAAAUAUGGUACCUAAAUAUUUUGAACGCUCAUGAAUCAGCUAUGUGAAUGAAACAUGAUUGAAACAAUCACGAUAAUUAGGCUUAUACCCCUGUCACACGGCGAAAACUAAUGUCAUUUGAAAAUGAUGACAAUGACGAUAGUAAAAAAAAAAAAGACACGCCUCAAACCCACUUUUGUCCAAUAAUUAUUUUCCAGUAUGCUAAAUUCCACUAGAAUAUGUGAUCAUUGUUUUCAAACCGUAGUGUUCGAUUACUAACUUGUCGACAUUGCCAACGAAGUCGAGUCGAGCUAAGGCAAGCAACAGGGCGAAGUGAACGAUAGGCGCGUCCGCUACAUCUGCUAAAGUGGUACGAGAAGGGCAGUUGCAUGUCAUCGCCUUUCUGAUGUGCAUGCGAGCUUCUAAUAUCCUCAUUCUUCGCGCGUGCCACAGGAAAAAACGCGCACGCUUUUAUGCCAAGUCAAUUGAAGUGGCCGCGGCCGAUGCUCCGGUGAGAACCAACACGACUGCUGCAGCGAAAGCUAAAGAUGGCUGUCUGGUCACUGGACUGAGAGUAGUUUUCUGUAUUUACCUAUGUGAUGGACUUCAAUGUCGUUAAAGCAAUAAUUAGGUAAUAAAAUGGAUAGAAUAAUAGUGAUUUUUUGUUAAAACAAAAAAAAGAAGCAUGUACUGUUUGCGAAACACUGGUAAACUCGUGGUGUCGAGGAUACAGAUUCAGUUCCAAACGAAUGCGAAUGAGUUUGGCGAACUGAUUUGUUUGUAAAUGUCAUUUUCGAAAAUGUCCUUACGUUUUACCGUGUGACACCAAAGAAAUGGCAUUAUCAGCGAAUGUCAUUCAUUGUAAAUGACAUUAGAUUUGCUGUGUGACAGGGGUAUUAGACAUGAACUCGUAAAACAGCUUCAAGUGUCCAGUCAGUACUCUACUUGACUGAAAUAAUACCUUUAACUCAAAAACCCACAUGACUGCAAGCCUUCAAAGCAUACGUUCACAGGUGUGUCUGCUCUGUUAUGGAUGAAUGACUGAUAAAUCAACCAUUAAAAAUAAUUGCUGAAAGCUUUAAUUGACAAUUUUUAUAUUGACAUUAAUCAAAUUAUGUGCAUCAAUUCAGUCAGUAACAGUGAUGUUUAUAUUUAAGUUAAUCUGGAAAUGCUGCACAUGUUUUCGAUUGCAGACUGUUUUGCCCUUCUAUGGUGGCAUGCCACUAUGGAAGUGGCAAUAACUUAUGCUAUGGAAUGUAAUUGGAAAAUUAAGUUCUAACUGUAGGAUAGAAAUUGAUAACAAUGGCAAUAUUUAGUAAAGGAACUAAAUGUGGAAGACAUUUUUGCCCUGGGUAGGAUCUGAACCACAAUCUGCACAUGUCCAGUCCAGUGCAAUGCUUUUACAAUGGUUCAGUAAUGUCUUUUGUGCGAACAAGGUUACCAACAGUGAAGGAUGAAAUUGGCAGCCUAGCUGUAAACUUGGUACACACAAUAAAUUUCUUCACUUACCUACCUGAUAACACUGGUGCAGAUAAUCCCUAUGACGGUUUAUCAAUGACACCAAACAUUGAAACACUUAAAUAUGUAAUCUUGCCUCUUCAAAUGUAAUGUAAUCGUGUAGUGUAAUUCAGAAAUGUAAUCUUGCCUCUUCAGCAGCUGAAGGCUGCAUAGCACCAUGUCCUUGCAAAGAGCUGACCUAAAAAGAAAAAAAAUUGCGACAGCUUGAACUAUUUAACACACACCAUUGCAAAAGGUUUUUGUAAGUCAAUGCAACUCAUUAUUCAAUUAAAGGAAUUCUAAAUAAUGAUAUUAAAAAUGUUCAUCAGUGCCCAUUUCACUUCCUUGCGUGCUCGGUAAUUUUUACUUAUGCUUCAACUAAUAUACACUUUUUCUCUACUCUCUCAAGACAAGCUGCGAGAAGGCGUGUCCAUGGAUGCAGUACUGGAUAAUGUGCGGUCCAACGUGGAUAAGACAUUCCACCGCGUUAACCUGUUAAGCAAGCGGGAUCUCCGCAAAAUAAUGAGGGAUGCCAGAGUCUCGAAGACCGAGCGGCUGCACGAUAAUGACUAUGUGAGCGUGCAACUCUGGGUUGAGAGGAUGCAUAGUGAAAAGGAAAACCCAUUGCUCUUCUUUAAACACCAAGGACAACCUGACAAAAAGUGCCAUUUUUUUAGAGAAAAAAAAUGAGGACCUUUUGGAUGACAGAGAUUUUAUGCUAGUCAUCAUUACCACACCACAACAGGAGCUUUUCAAGAGGCUUGGAACUGAUCGUAUAUGUGUCGAUCGAACACGUGGAACAGCAGGUGAGCAGUACUAUAUAAAUGCAUUAAUAAUAAAAGCAAGAAAGAGGGAAUGCUGUCCGAGAAUAAUUGCAAUAGAUAUGAUGAGUAGUAUUCCUUCACACAUGAUAUUUCUCUUAAUUUUUCAUUUGAUGGAGUUCUCAAUUAUCAGUAACAGAGCAAGAAUGAAUUCAGCGCUCUGUACACUGGUGAUAUUCCAUUGCUACUGUCCUCAUCGCUACAUGCCCUGCAUAUCCUGUCUGUAUUGUCACCACGGAGUUAUAAUAGGUCACAUAAUACAGCUCUUAUCACAUUUGUCGUGUGGGGAUGCGCGACUGUCACACGUCCCCUUAUAUGUUGUUUUUCCCGCAUAGCUUCCGUCUCCUGCAUUGCGGCUUUGCCGCGGGCCCCAGGCCACGCGAGAGAUGGCGCGAGUGUUGCGCUGCUAACGCCGCCUCAUGGCAGGGUUACUUGGGGGCGCAAGGGAGAACACGUUUCCUCUUUGGUUCGGGACGGCAAGCAGCACGGACGUGCCGCCCGUGCGCCGAUCCAUGCUUCUGCGAGAUCGUCUCGUGAGGCCUUGUGCGAAAGAGCCACCGUUCGCGUGACCGUACGCGUGAACGACCAGGCAUUGGGAUCCAGCAAGGGGCGAACGUAUUCGCUCGCUAUCCGGUCGCAGUGAGUCGGACUUCCGCAAUUUGUCGCACGCCCAUCGGCAUUGUUUUGUGGAUAGCAACUCGGCUAGCAGGCAUUGAUCUAUGAAAGGUGCAAUAAAUGCCCUUGUGAUUGUCGUUCCUUUGACCCAAGGUACGGGAUGAGAAUCCCACAGUCUAGAGUGCAGAAACAGUGCAUUGCACUGUGUAUUAGUGCCUUCUGUCAGAGGUACAGCUGUCUCGAGGCUGUUUGGCAUCCUGAACUGUUUGCCAAUUAGGCGAAUCACUGAUUACUGCUACAGUCAAAAGUGCUUUUUCUUGGUGGCGGUGGGUGGUUCCCUAAGGACUGCAAAAACAAAACAUUUAGAAAAUCAGGCAGUCCAAAAAAAAAAAUUAAUGCAUGCCUUUUACUGCCAUUUAAAGGGAGGUGCUAGUCUAAAACAUAACAAGAACCUAGAACUAUGAAACCCCAGCUGUUUACAUACUCUUAUGGUAAUUUCAAAUACUAUAUAAAUCAGUUUUAUAGCAAGUUGCAAUGUGUAAAACGUAGGCAUUAGUGCCCCCAUUUUUUUAUCUCUAAACUUCCAUAAUUGCAGACCAGUGAUGGCGCAUAAUCCUCCAAAUCAACUGUAGAAUACUGUAAUAUGUUACCGAAAUCGUUAUUCACUGUUGUUUUAAAAAGUGCAUAUAAGUGUUAAAUUAGAACCUGUGAAACCAUUUCAAAAUGUUUAGACAACCAGUAAGUGUUACUCAAGAUUUUAUCUUAAGUAUAUAAGUGAUGUUCAAGAUCAACCCCUCAGUGGUGGUCAAGACAGUUUAGGGUUUCAAGCACAAAGUUGACAUUCUGGAGCAGUUUAGGAGCAGAAAUUUUUUUUCUACUUCGUGUUCCAAAAGUCUUCUUGGAACACUUGGAGUAGUACAGAAGUAAUCUAGCCAUUUGGUGGAGCUUAUUAUUACUGUGCAGUCAGUAAGCGCUGCUCAAGAGUGAAGCAAGACACAAAGCCAACAGCAACCAAUUAAGCUUGCCUUCCCAAGGACGGUAUACCACGCACAUCAUGUUGCAAACAUUUUUGUUUGGGUAGGCAAGGAACUUAAUUUGUACCCGCCCUAGUUGCUUAGUGGCUGUGGUGUUGAUCUGCUAAGAACGAGGUCGCAGGAUCGAAUCUCGGCCAGAGCUGCCGCAUUUCAAUGGGGGCAAAAGGCGAAAACACCCGUGCACUUAAAUUUACUGUAGGUGCACGUUAAAGAACCCCAGUUGGUAGAAAUUUCCGGAGUCCCACACUACGGCAUGCCUCAUAAUCAGAAAGUGGUUUUGGCACGUAAGACCCCAUAAUUUAAUUUUUCUUAAUUUUGUAGACCAACCACAACACUUAUCAGGCUUCUUGGUGCUUGUGCUGUAACAGAAGAGAGUAUGUAUGUGUGUAAAUAAAAAAAUGUAAAUCAUGCAAUCUUACAAUGGCCCCUUUUCACUGCUGGUAUGCUCCACCACGAUACAUUGCAUAAGCCUCUUCCCGUAGCAAGCUAUAUUGCAGCAAAGUUGACGCUUGAAAACCGGCAUUAUACAACACUUUCUACAAUGGUUGUGCCUUCCGCACUUUGAAGGCAAAGCGUUUCAGCAUCCGAAAUUUCAGCUGUGCUUAUAAUUAAUUGCCUCUGUGAGGUAUGUGGCAGUGUUGCAAGGAUACCCGAAUUCUCAUGCAUGUCUGAAAAAUAGUUUGUUGGGUGUAUUUCUGCUUGGUAAUGAAGACGGCUACGACAGUGCACAUUAGUGACACAACAGUGGCCAAAUGCUCAGAUUCCUUUUAAGUAGAGCGCUGUGUGCUUUUAUGACUUUGGUGAAGUUAGCAUCUGAAUUUGCCAUACACACACCUGCAAAUUAUCUAUUUAUUAAACUCACGCACACAUAAUAUCACUAUAAUGAGAAAUGCAUAGUGUUUUAGCUGUUCCCUGCAGAAUGUUUUCUGACAACUGCUUUGAUGAUGGAUGGAUGAAUAAAUUUCUUGACGUCUGUCGGUACGUGCGAUUAGUGCGCCACUCCCACGUCGGGACAGAGAGGCCAUGCCCCUCCGCCGCGUCGCGGGCCCGAUGGACAGCCCAGAGCUGUGCUUCAAGGUCCGAGCUGUGUGGAGCUCGGUCCCACUCUUCCUUGGUGGUCCUGGCACCAGGAAGCAAGCCCAGAGCAUGUGAUCAAGGCUAGCUAUAUCCUUACAGUAGUGACACGCAUUGUGAAGGUGCACGUCCGGAAAGAUUUUGUGCAGGAAGGCCGGGCAUGCGUAGGUGCCUGUCUGAAGCCACCUGUACGUGACUUCUUGUGCUUUAUUGGGUGCUUUGUGCGGUAGCGGCAUGGUUCUCUUGACUAACUUGUAAUGCUGGGUGAGAUCGUUGUGACGAGGGGAUCACGCUCGCUUGCCCAUCCUGCCGAGAGGGAGUCCGGGCUCACACGGUGAGUUAGAUCUUGUGCAGUCUCGUGUGCUGUCUCGUUGAGGUCACUUUUUAAGAACAAUAUUUCAUCACGAAUAUACUCUUAAUGCUUCACACACAAAACAAUUUGUUACCUUGUUGUGUCCAUGAAAGGGUUGUAUUAAGAAUAAUUUUUUGGCAGCCUUGUUGACAGUUUGACAGCAUCAAUCAGUGAAUCCUUAACAGGCACUCUGCAACACUUUUUCAAGAAGGAAAGCCAACCUACUGAGUCUCCAACACAUGCGAUUUUACAUUUUGUCACAACCUUAAUGCAGCUGGCACAUCUGGGUUCAAGCUUAUAUAGUGCUAACUUAGGCAAGUUGGCACAUGUUGCAGCACUUCAUUUGUCUCCUUUAUGUCCUAUGUGUUGUAAUGCUAUGUUAUUUAUUCAAGCUCAUACUUCUGAGCAGCAAGCAAAAUGCAGUUGACUUCAUUCCGUUAAUUCGACUCUGACGGGACUGACGAAACAGAUUGAAUUAUCUGGUGGGUCAAAUUUAAGAAGAUGCAGAAGAAAUGCCAACACACAUGACUGAUUUAUUUGCCAUGGUUUACGUACAGAUUCUAACAUGCCCCAGAGUGAAACACACGCCCGCUGCCUGUGUGUCCAAAGUGUAAACUAGCAUAGAAAGGACAAAAGCCCCUAAAAUGAAAGAGAAAUCAAAUGCGCACACAAUUUUUAUUUUUAAAAAAAAAACGGACAAGGGUCCAAUGUGUUGCACAUUGCAACCAAUUUUCCAAAGUCAGCUUCGCCGCAAUACAUCCGUGUUAUGCGGUAAAGCAUACGAAAAUCGCCAAGAAAGUUUUGUUAAAGAUGGCACAUUAGAAAUGGUGAAUACCACAAUCAGACGUUUUGAUCUGUGAUUAUUGCUUGGAGCUCCUCCUGGGCAGACAGAAAAUAUGCAUUUCCUGCAGGAGAUAAAGUCUGUUUCACACAUCUACUGUCCUCUAAGGUAUGUCACCAAAGGGGUCGCUUAUUGGGUUCACUGUAGGGGUCAGCAUGCAUGCUGACUGCUCAAGUUGGAAUUAUUGGGUGAAGGCCUAUUUUAGUAUCAAAAUAACCGAAGUUUGGACCUAUAGAAAUGCACGUGUGUCGGCUGGGACUUUCAGACGGGAUCAAAUUUAUAGGAGUCUACUGUUCUGCAGCCACUGAGCACUGCAGCAUGCCAAUAUUCUGCUAUGUGUAGUAGGAGAUACAUUCUUGCUGCAAAGUCCACUGCCAUAUGGUACAGUCGACUUCUGUUAAUUCGACUCCGGGUAAUUCAAUCCUGGCCAAAGGUCUUGGCCGGCAGUCAUACAUUUCUACAGUCCCGAAUCUCUUAUUUUGAUUGUAAAAUUGGCCUUCACAGGAUAACUUGAACUUGGAACAGUGACUCGCUGUUGACCCCUAUGGUGAACCCAAUAGCGACCCCUUUAGUGGCAGCUCGGCGAUGCGUAGGAAACAAUGUAUGCAUUCAACACGUGUGAUCGCGUGUCGACAACUCCCAUUUAUGCUUGCCAUAGGAAACUUUUGAAUCAAGAACCAUAUAUCACAAAGUUUAAUUACGGUAUUUACCCGAUUCUAGUGUGUGCCUCAUAAGUUAGCACUAGUAGAAUGCAAUAGUUGUACACUUUUCUUUUCAGUGACACCCGCCGUGGUUGCUCAGUGACUAUGGUGUUGGGCUGCUGAGCACGAGGAUGGGGAUCGAAUCCGGGCCACGGCAGCCGCAUUUCGAUGGGGGCGAAAUGCGAAAACACCUGUGUACUUAGAUUUAGGUGCACGUUAAAGAACCCUAGGUGGUCGAAAUUUCCAGAGUCCUCCACUACGGCGUGCCUCAUAAUCAGAAAGUGGUUUUGGCAAGUAAAACCCCAUAAUUUAAUUUUUUUCUUUCAAUGACAGUGGUAAGCUCCCAGCCAUGAUUUUGGUAUUGCCUGCCAUAUGCAUUCCACCCCAUUUUUAUUCUAGAGUCUGCCUUUUCAUGAUCAGGGUCCCUUACGAGCAACUGACUUACUCCUGUACAGACUCUAGAGGCUGACUGGCGAUGUGAAUUCUUCAACAUUGUCUUCUGCAUAUUAAUCUUCAAACCCACUCUAACACUUUUUUGGUUAAGGUCCUCAAUCACUAGUAAUUUGUCCCCACUGUUGCCGAGAUAUUCACCAUUGAUCCGCACUCCGAAUGUGCUGCAACUGCAGAUUUGAUAUGGCAUUAAUCAAAGCCAACACCACCGUGUUAUCUCACCACCUUGAACUGACACUCUCACACGCAGAUCCACUGGCCACUGUAAUCACCAUGGCGGGAACGCUAGGCCUAGGUAUGCUAUUACGGUUCUUGACAUUUGGUGCUGUCUUUUUCAUUGAAAGAAUUCACCGCUGUCAGCAAAGGUACCCACUCUGCCUCUGCAAUCCUCGUAAAGCACGGCGCGUUGCAUAUUGCUAGUCCUCGAAAGGCUGCUUUGCCUCAGCACAGUGAUGCUACGCGGUGAAGUGUAUGGGACGCAGCACAUAUAUUGUUAGACUCACGUGCACUUGCAGUCUCCUGUCAGAGUGCAAGCACCUAUAUGCCUAAUAAGUGUACUGGCAGACCUUCAGAGCUUUUUCGGACGUGCCUGUGGCGAUUUGGGCCCUUAAGGGCAGUAAAAGACAUGCAUUCAUUUUUUUUUUUCUGACAUUGUAGCGGCCCUUAGGGAGUCUGAAAAAUCGGACGGUACAACUGACCAAAAGGAUGCUUCAUCCAUGGGGCGAACACGCAGCGUAACAAGGACAAGAAUAGGAAGGACCAUUGCAUUGAGGAAUGAUCAGGAAAGGAACUGUGCCGCCGCCUCUUUGAAGGAGCUUGCGCUCAAAAAGCAAAGUGUUGGCUGAGGCUAAGAUGCAGGUUACCCACAUCCAAACCAAAAUAAACCCCUUAAAGCAGUGAAAUGCAACACUGAGGCAUUAUGCGCAGGCUGAGAGUAUGUCAGGACAGUUGAGGUUGACUUUCCAUUUGCUUGGAGAAUCUCAUAUGUGACAAAGUUCGGGCAUGAUACCAAUGAGCUUGCUAUCAGUUGAUACAAAUAGCUCUAUUUGCUUUUGUAUGCAUCUCUUUUUAUUCGCAUUUUAAAAUGUUUGACUCUAUUUGCCGUGAGCUAGACCACGUUUUUUUCCGUGAAGCUGUCUAAAAUGAGGAUCUGGCAGAUCGCAUCCGCGCAUAGACCAACAAUUUUUCAUACGGUGGGCCGAUCCCGAAGAAAGUGCAAUACCAGGCCAACCCGAGGCAGAAGUGAAGCAAGCAUUAAGCACUCCCCAUAUGUGGGCUGAUCCCGAAGGUCGUGAAACGCCAGUCAAACCUGCGGCGGAGAUGAAGCAGGCUUUAAGCACUCCCCACACAUGGGCCAAUCCCAUAGGUAGUGCAAUACCAGGCCGACCCGCGGUAGAGGUGCAGUUCACCAUUAAGGGGCCCACGUACGCAGCUUUGCUGGUCAUCCUUCACAGAGUAAAAGGGCACAGAGUUUCUUUCGAAGAUAUUUUAGUAGCUGUGCAUUUUACAAACCCCUCUUUUCAGUUUUCUAUUUUGAAUAAAAUAACCACUACUCCUUACUGUUCAAA